UACGGAGGGGGUUAGCGUUGUUCGGAAUUACUGGGCGUAAAGCGCACGUAGGCGGACUAUUAAGUCAGAGGUGAAAUCCCGGGGCUCAACCCCGGAACGGCCUUUGAUACUGGUAGUCUCGAGUUCUGGAGAGGUGAGUGGAAUUCCGAGUGUAGAGGUGAAAUUCGUAGAUAUUCGGAGGAACACCAGUGGCGAAGGCGGCUCACUGGCCAGAUACUGACGCUGAGGUGCGAAAGCGUGGGGAGCAAACAGG
rnacentral:misc_RNA from 1 species